AGGUUUUUGCUUAAAAGAAUUGCCUCUUUCAUGCAAAUAAUUCAAUGAGGGCUAGAGAAACCACCAUUAUGAGCAUAUACCAACCAAGCUGGAAGCGCUUUACAAGCACAGAUUGGGUGAUGCGGCAAAAACAUUA
rnacentral:snoRNA from 1 species